AGAGAGGCGCCUUUCUCUGAAGGGAGGAAGGAACCUCCACUGUGAUAUGGCCUUGACUAAACAAGUUCAGAGUCGGUGAACUCAAGGGGCUUCCAUAGCCUAGACAGCUCAUAGCAAGAGUCUUGGGUGAUUGCUGACGUCAUAAAUAAGAGUGCCAAUUGUUAAAUCAACAACGGGAGUCACUGGGUACAUGCUCCCCACGUAGGAUCUCUGUCCUUAAUGUGUUUUACUAUGAAACUUAAAAACAACACUACUAGUUGAACAAUACCCUAUACCUUGUGUGGUUGUGUGAGUACAGCCUGUUGAAAUCCUUACUUAGUAUAUACUAAGUUGAUCUUCAGUAUAUGAAGGCAGAGACUGCUGUGGCCUGGGAAAGCAGUAGAAGAUGGCCCAAGUCUUUGGGUCACUCUACCCCUGUGGGAGACCCAGAAGAAGCUCCUGGCACUGGCUUCAGAUUGGCGCAGCUCCGGCCAUUGCAGCCAAUUGGGGAGUGAACUAUGUGAUGGAAGACCUCUCUCUCUCUCUGCCUCUCCUCUCGCAUUCUCUAUCGGUGGUAGCUAUAGGAAUUAACAUACACAGAACAUCCAAUGCGGAGGCACUGCUGCAGUUUCUGGAGGAUCAAAAUACUUUCCCCAACUUUGAGCAUCUGGCAUACUGG